GGUUCGAUGCCACGUCGGCGGUAGCAAAACCUGCUUUGACCGGCGAUGCUAUGAUCGGACCAAUAUGAAGCUUACGCGUUUCGCAUCUUAUAGGAACCUGUGAACUGAUAAAUUUCUGUUCAUUCACAGAGCCGUUUAGUGCGAUUACAUUU